GCGGGGGGAUGGGCUCGGCAGCCGCCGCGGAGCACCCUUGCUGGGUGGCACCGGGGUCCUCGCCCUCCCCCGGUUACCCGUGCGGUCUCUGCCCCCUGGACAGUCUUCCCCGAGACCGAAACCUUAAGUCAUAUUCUUUAUUCUUGUCUAAACUUAAUGGGUCAAUGUAUUUAUUCUGA
rnacentral:lncRNA from 1 species